UACGAGGGGGGCAAGCGUUGUUCGGAAUUAUUGGGCGUAAAGGGCGCGUAGGCGGUGCGGUAAGUCACCUGUGAAACCUCUAGGCUUAACCUAGAGCCUGCAGGCGAAACUGCCGUGCUUGAGGGUGGGAGAGGUGCGUGGAAUUCCCGGUGUAGCGGUGAAAUGCGUAGAUAUCGGGAGGGACACCGGUGGCGAAGGCGGCGAUCUGGGUAGAUACUGACGCUGAGGUGCGAAAGCGUGGGGAGCAAACAGG
rnacentral:rRNA from 1 species